UAGCUCCUUCCCAAACAUGCCACCUACGAGAAUUAGAUCUAUGUGUGACGAUGGGUAUAUUCCAUUUUGAAAGAAAUGGUCUCCCUGCCGAUGAGGAGCACCUGAACGAAUGGUGCGGAUUACUUAAUUCAUGCUGAGUGCUUAGCAGAGGGUGCAAGUAGCCGGGAUUUCAAAGACCAGUUGAGAGACUUGCAAGUAGUUUUUGAAAAAGUGUUCGAUGUUUCGUUCAAGAAACGAUUCCCUCUCAUGUGUUGUGGAGUUAGGCGAUUCCAUGAGGCCAAUGAGAAAAUGAACGCCAAGAGAUGUGGAAAAGCUUCUGUAGCGAUGAUUCACAACAUCAUGAAGCUGAUGAUCGUCAACGACCUGCCAGAUACUUUAUGCCAACGAUUUGAUCCCGAAAGUGCUGAGUGUAAUGAAAUUCUCUCACCAUCUGGCACCCCACCCAGAGGAUCCAAAAGCAAAACUCAAUUUGGAAAGUUGAUAGCCACUAUCAUAGAUAACCUGUGAUCCUUAUCUCCCAGUGAUUUGUGACUAACUAUUGUGAAUAACUGCUGAUAUAAAUAUUUGUAUGCGUUUUAUUGCC